rnacentral:rRNA from 1 species
ACGCUGGCGGCAGGCUUAACACAUGCAAGUCGAACGGUAACAGGAAUUAGCUUGCUAAUCUGCUGACGAGUGGCGGACGGGUGAGUAAUGCUUGGGAAUCUGGCUUAUGGAGGGGGAUAACUACGGGAAACUGUAGCUAAUACCGCGUAAAAUCUUCGGAUUAAAGGGUGGGACUUUCGAGCCACCUGCCAUAAGAUGAGCCCAAGUGGGAUUAGGUAGUUGGUUAGGUAAAGGCUGACCAAGCCGACGAUCUCUAGCUGGUCUGAGAGGAUGACCAGCCACACUGGAACUGAGACACGGUCCAGACUCCUACGGGAGGCAGCAGUGGGGAAUAUUGCACAAUGGGGGGAACCCUGAUGCAGCCAUGCCGCGUGAAUGAAGAAGGCCUUCGGGUUGUAAAGUUCUUUCGGUGACGAGGAAGGUUGAUAGGUUAAUAGCCUAUCAAAUUGACGUUAAUCACAGAAGAAGCACCGGCUAACUCCGUGCCAGCAGCCGCGGUAAUACGGGGGGUGCGAGCGUUAAUCGGAAUAACUGGGCGUAAAGGGCACGCAGGCGGUGACUUAAGUGAGAUGUGAAAGCCCCGAGCUUAACUUGGGAAUUGCAUUUCAUACUGGGUCGCUAGAGUACUUUAGGGAGGGGUAGAAUUCCACGUGUAGCGGUGAAAUGCGUAGAGAUGUGGAGGAAUACCGAAGGCGAAGGCAGCCCCUUGGGAAUGUACUGACGCUCAUGUGCGAAAGCGUGGGGAGCAAACAGGAUUAGAUACCCUGGUAGUCCACGCUGUAAACGAUGUCGAUUUGGGGAUUGGGCUUUGAGCUUGGUGCCCGUAGCUAACGUGAUAAAUCGACCGCCUGGGGAGUACGGCCGCAAGGUUAAAACUCAAAUGAAUUGACGGGGGCCCGCACAA